rnacentral:rRNA from 1 species
UUCUAUUAUUAUAAUUAAUAGUAAAAUCUGCUCAAUGAAAUUUAAAUAGCCGCAACAAUGUGCUAAGGUAGCAUAAUAAUUCGCCUUUUAAUUGAAGACUAGAACAAAAGAUUUAACAAUUUAAUUAAUAUAUUAUAAUUAUUAUAUUAAAUUUAUUUUAAAUGUAAAAAAACAUUUUUAAAAAAGAAAGACGAUAAGACCCUAUUGAACUUAACUAUAGUUAAACUGGGGCAGUAAAUUAAUUAUUAUUUUAAUUUUUAUAAAAAUAUAAUUAUCUAAUUUAAUUAAUUAAAUAAGUUACCAUAGGGAUAACAGCGUAAUUUAUAUUAAAAGAUCUUAUAUAAAUAUAAGAUUGCGACCUCGAUGUUGAAUAAUAAACUAAAUAACGCAAUAGUUAAAAAAGUAAGUCUGUUCGACUUUUAAACAAUUACA